AUGUCUUCUAACAGUUUCUUACUUUGCUUCAUCUCACUAUUCUUUAUCUUCACUGCUCAAUAUUUCAGUAUCUCUUGAUACUUACUUCCCUUCAGUUUAACCAAGUUCCUUACCACGUGUUAUCUUGCAUCAUACUCGGCUCUGAUUUCGUGGUCCUCUGUAUCAACCUCACUGCAGUGUACUCAUGAUACAUAUGCCGAUUUACUUGUCUCGCCGACAAGUUCCCUUAUGUAAGACUCCUCUUACAAAUCUCCUAAUGAUGUGCCUUGUACUUGUUAACUGAC
rnacentral:lncRNA from 1 species